UUAAUUAGGUUUAGUUUAAUGACAGAUAUUCUUCGUCCAUAAAUCUCUCUCUUUUUUAAUCAAGAGAGAUCAGAGUUUUUUGGUUUUUGCACAGAUUCGAAGCAAGACGAAAAUGGCGGCGGAAGACGCGAUCGAUGUCUGGACUGAACAUCUCAGCAAGGCCAUGGAAUCCAACAAAUUGGGUAUCGCGGAUUUGCCAACAGAGCGUGGCUCGGGAGUUUGAAGUGGUGGCAAUGCAUGCCGACCUUUGUGUUCAUAAAGGAUGGAAAAGUAGUGGACAAGCCCGUGGGCGGGAGGAAGGAGGAGCUCCAGACAACUGUAGCUAAACAUGUCGCUGUCGCCGCUGCAUAUGCAGAUGAGGAAUAAGGUUUGUCGGGUUUUAUAAGUUAGUCCAUAUCCCGAAGAAGAUAGAAAUAACGGUUUCCUAGAUGAAAAGCGCUGACAUUGUAUUCGAAGCUUUACUCUAGUUUCUCCAUAAUCUCAUUGUAGACUGAUUAUUCGAUAUUCGAAUACCCACAAUUUCCA